UGAGGAAUAUUGCUCAAUGGGCGCAAGCCUGAAGCAGCGACGCCGCGUGGACGAUGAAGGUCUUCGGAUCGUAAAGUCCUUUUCUGUGUGACGAGGAAGGACGGUAGCACAGGAAUAAGUGUCGGCUAACUACGUGCCAGCAGCCGCGGUAACACGUAGGACGCAAGCGUUAUCCGGAAUUACUGGGCGUAAAGAGCGUGUAGGCGGUGCUGUAAGUCAACCGUGAAAGCUCCCGGCUAAACUGGGAGAGGUCGGAUGAGACUGCAGCGCUAGUGGGUCGUAGAGGAAUGUGGAAUUCCGGGUGUAGUGGUGAAAUGCGUAGAGAUCCGGAGGAACACCAGAGGCGAAGGCGGCAUUCUGGACGACAUCAGACGCUGAGACGCGACAGCACGGGGAGCGAACGGG
rnacentral:rRNA from 1 species